rnacentral:rRNA from 1 species
AGGACGAACGCUGGCGGCGUGCUUAACACAUGCAAGUCGAGCGGAAAGGCCCUUCGGGGUACUCGAGCGGCGAACGGGUGAGUAACACGUGAGCAACCUGCCCUUAGCUCCGGGAUAGCUCCGGGAAACCGGAAUUAAUACCGGAUACGACCACGGCCGACAUCUGCUGUGGUGGAAAGGAUUCCGGCUAAGGAUGGGCUCGCGGCCUAUCAGCUAGUUGGUGGAGUAACGGCCCACCAAGGCGACGACGGGUAGCCGGCCUGAGAGGGCGACCGGCCACACUGGGACUGAGACACGGCCCAGACUCCUACGGGAGGCAGCAGUGGGGAAUAUUGCGCAAUGGGCGAAAGCCUGACGCAGCGACGCCGCGUGGGGGAUGAAGGCCUUCGGGUUGUAAACCCCUUUCAGCAGGGACGAAGCGAAAGUGACGGUACCUGCAGAAGAAGCGCCGGCUAACGUACGUGCCAGCAGGCCGC